CCAUUAACAACGCGGAUUCGCUGUUUGCACCACUUCCGUUAGGAAAAGUAAGGGUAACGAUCCACGAUGCCAAUUGGUUGGUUAUAGGUCAUGUUAAUAAAUGAAGAUAGGAGGAGAAAGCCUCCUAUCAACGCGGCUAGUAACUACCUGCUUUCCCCGUAAUUAGUAAGGACGUAUAACAACCUAAGGGCUGUUUCAAGGACCAUCCAUAAACAGAUAACAGAAAUAAUAAACUUAAAAAGUUUAAGUUUAUGGUGGAUCCCUGGGGUAAUUGAGGGUGCGCGGUGGCCUCUGAUAAAAUUGACGUUACAACUGCCACGACACCCGUAUUCGGGUGUCAGCAAAGUAUCUGUCGUUCGUCGUAGGCAUUUGAAAAGAUAUUCCAUAAUAAUAAAUUGUUAAUUAAUAAUUAAUUGUAAUAAUAGUUGAAUUGUUAUAAAAUAAAAAUACGAAAAUGGUUUGUUAAAGAAAUGAU